rnacentral:rRNA from 1 species
UGGGGAAUAUUGGACAAUGGGCGAAAGCCUGAUCCAGCCAUGCCGCGUGUGUGAAGAAGGUCUUCGGAUUGUAAAGCACUUUAAGUUGGGAGGAAGGGCUGUCGGCUAAUACCCUGCAGUUUUGACGUUACCAACAGAAUAAGCACCGGCUAACUUCGUGCCAGCAGCCGCGGUAAUACGGAGGGUGCAAGCGUUAAUCGGAAUUACUGGGCGUAAAGCGCGCGUAGGUGGUUCAGCAAGUUGGAUGUGAAAGCCCCGGGCUCAACCUGGGAACUGCAUCCAAAACUACUGAGCUAGAGUACGGUAGAGGGUGGUGGAAUUUCCUGUGUAGCGGUGAAAUGCGUAGAUAUAGGAAGGAACACCAGUGGCGAAGGCGACCACCUGGACUGAUACUGACACUGAGGUGCGAAAGCGUGGGGAGCAAACAG